rnacentral:tRNA from 1 species
ACUAAGUUAGUUUAAUGAAGAACGUUAGAUUGUGGUUCUAAUAGUAAAGGUUUUUACUUGGUG